rnacentral:lncRNA from 1 species
CUGGGGUUGAUCCAAUUAUAGGCUAAACUAGUGAUACUGCAUAAUAUGGUUCGGAUGACAAGAAGCAAUUGCCCUGGUUAUGCAAAUAAAUACUGACUCGGGCUCCUGAUGCAGCUGUGAACCUGAUAGAUGUACCGAGCAGAAGUUCUGCACCAAGUGUUACCAGAAGAAGUUCAAAGACAGCUUAUGGGGAUAUGUCAGCUGGAGAAACAGGGGAAGGAAUUGAAAUGAUUUUGACUCUUGUAAUCCAGGGAAACUGUUCUCCUCACUUAUUAGUGACUCGCAUUCAUGGCUCUAAGGGAAAAUUAUUGAGAAAAAAGCUUGCUUCAUCUCCAGCUGAAGCUGAUCAGCUGGUCAAACUUUCAGAGGCCCAACAGUUGCUAAAAAAUUUGAAACAGUUAAGACAAAUUCAGGUACGGCACUGGAAACCCACGUGACAUGAAUGCUACUAUUUACAGCAUCAUAUUCUCCAAAUACAUAGCAUGAAGUCUCAGCACAUAUAAAAAUAUCUAGAAACACCUUGAUAAAUUCUCCAUCAUGUCCACAAAGCCACAACAGAUAUUGUUCUCUUAAACUAGCUGCAACUGCAGCAUUUUGGUGUCAGAGCCUUCACCAAGCACACAGCUCAUCUUGCACAAACUUGUCACCAGCAACAUGCAAGCUUCAUUUGAGCAACUCUGCUUGUGUCGCUGAGAAGGCCAGCCAGAAGCAGCUGGUAGAAGAAUCCGUUUGAGCUGAAGCAGAGGUGAGAUCUUACAGGACACAAAUGUUCAGGCUGUGUACUGAAAUACAGUGCAAACUGGGAACUGUAUGAGUUUGCAUGAAGUCAAGAAUUACACGAGACUGUUGUAAUGUACGACAGAUGGCACACAAAGUAUGACCUGCCAACUGUACUGACUGUAUGACCAAAAUCUAGGUAAUGACCAAUAGUCACAGCACCAUGUUAUUCUUUCUAGAAAUCCUUUGCAUGUUAUUAGCAGUACUGUAACUUCUCAAGUAAAGUAUCUUUCCAUCUGAUACUAACUAAUGAAAACAAAGUACCAAAUCUCUACAAGCAGGAUAUGUGGAAGAUAAAUCGAACUAGAAAUACAAAUGACAAAAUAAUUGUUAGUUUCAGGCUAUAAUGCAGACACAGUCAAUAAACAUAUAGUCAUUCUUCCA